GAACGCGUCUCCGUUAAUGAUUUUAGGUGCUUGCACUUGAAAGAUUUAACAUUGAGACGAGUGGCGAACUGGUGAGUAACACGUGGGUAACCUGCCCUUGAAGUAGGGGAUAACACUUGGAAACAGGUGCUAAUACCGUAUAACAACCAAAACCACCUGGUUUUGGUUUAAAAGACGGCUUCGGCUGUCACUUUAGGAUGGACCCGCGGCGCAUUAGCUUGUUGGUAAGGUAACGGCUUACCAAGGCGAUGAUACGUAGCCGACCUGAGAGGGCAAUCGGCCACAUUGGGACUGAGACACGGCCCAAACUCCUACGGGAGGCAGCAGUAGGGAAUCUUCCACAAUGGACGAAAGUCUGAUGGAGCAACGCCGCGUGAGUGAUGAAGGGUUUCGGCUCGUAAAACUCUGUUGUUGGAGAAGAACAGGUGUCAGAGUAACUGUUGACAUCUUGACGGUAUCCAACCAGAGAGCCACGGCUAACUACGUGCCAGCAGCCGCGGUAAUACGUAGGUGGCAAGCGUUGUCCGGAUUUAUUGGGCGUAAAGCGAGCGCAGGCGGUUUUUUAGGUCUGAUGUGAAAGCCUUCGGCUUAACCGGAGAAGUGCAUCGGAAACCGGGGGACUUGAGUGCAGAAGAGGACAGUGGAACUCCAUGUGUAGCGGUGAAAUGCGUAGAUAUAUGGAAGAACACCAGUGGCGAAGGCGGCUGUCUGGUCUGUAACUGACGCUGAGGCUCGAAAGCAUGGGUAGCGAACAGGAUUAGAUACCCUGGUA
rnacentral:rRNA from 1 species